UCUGGAGCCUGGCGGCGGGACGGCGGGAUCCGGUGGGAGCCGGAGUCCCGCCGAGGGGGGCUGGAGGUGGAGGGGCCCGGCGAGGCCGCGAUUUGAAGCCCAGCGGCAAGGACCAGGCGGCGCCUGCGGCCGGCCCCUGGGAGGAGUGCUUCCAGGCGGCUGUGCAGCUGGCGCUGCGGGCGGGACAGAUCAUCAGAAAAGCCCUGACUGAGGAAAAACGUGUCUCAACGAAAACAUCAGCUGCAGAUCUUGUGACAGAAACGGAUCACCUUGUGGAAGAUUUAAUUAUUUCUGAGUUGCGGGAAAGGUUUCCUUCACACAGGUUCAUUGCAGAAGAGGCCGCGGCUUCUGGGGCCAAGUGUGUGCUCACCCACAACCCGACCUGGAUCAUCGACCCCAUCGACGGUACCUGCAAUUUUGUGCACAGAUUCCCGACUGUGGCGGUUAGCAUUGGAUUGGCUGUUCGACAAGAGCUGGAAUUCGGAGUGAUUUACCACUGCACAGAGGAGCGGCUGUACACGGGCCGGCGGGGUCGGGGCGCCUUCUGCAACGGCCAGCGGCUCCGGGUCUCCGGGGAGACAGAUCUCUCAAAGGCCUUGGUUCUGACCGAAAUCGGCCCCAAGCGUGACCCUGCGACCCUGAAACUGUUCCUGAGUAACAUGGAGCGGCUGCUGCACGCCAAGGCGCAUGGGGUCCGAGUGAUUGGAAGCUCCACAUUGGCACUGUGCCACCUGGCCUCGGGAGCUGCGGAUGCCUAUUACCAGUUUGGUCUGCACUGCUGGGACCUGGCGGCUGCCACAGUUAUCAUCAGAGAAGCAGGCGGCAUUGUGAUCGACACUUCGGGUGGACCCCUCGACCUCAUGGCUUGCAAAGUGGUUGCUGCCAGCACCCGGGAGAUGGCGAUGCUCAUAGCUCAGGCCUUACAGACGAUUAACUAUGGGCGGGAUGAUGAGAAGUGACCCUGGCUGAGGCAAAGCUGCUCUCGAGGCCUCCCUGGGCCGCUGUGGGCUCCUGGGGAGGUGGCCCUCAUGGCCCACGGUCCCUGCCAGUGGCUCACACUCUGCCCCUGGCUACCCCAGAGGGAGCUGCCACGCUACAGGGAGUGGCUGGCCUUUUAAAUCCGCAUCUCUCUCACUGGGAUUUGGUGGUUAGCUGUUUCUCUCUUUAAUCUCAGGUAGCCUUUU